GAUGAACGCUGGCGGCGUGCCUAAUACAUGCAAGUCGAGCGAACAGACGAGGAGCUUGCUCCUCUGACGUUAGCGGCGGACGGGUGAGUAACACGUGGAUAACCUACCUAUAAGACUGGGAUAAAUUCGGGAAACCGGAGCUAAUACCGGAUAAUAUAUUGAACCGCAUGGUUCAAUAGUGAAAGACGGUUUUGCUGUCACUUAUAGAUGGAUCCGCGCCGCAUUAGCUAGUUGGUAAGGUAACGGCUUACCAAGGCAACGAUGCGUAGCCGACCUGAGAGGGUGAUCGGCCACACUGGAACUGAGACACGGUCCACACUCCUACGGGAGGCAGCAGUAGGGAAUCUUCCGCAAUGGGCGAAAGCCUGACGGAGCAACGCCGCGUGAGUGAUGAAGGUCUUCGGAUCGUAAAACUCUGUUAUUAGGGAAGAACAAAUGUGUAAGUAACUAUGCACGUCUUGACGGUACCUAAUCAGAAAGCCACGGCUAACUACGUG
rnacentral:rRNA from 1 species